CCCCUUGAACUUGUGACGCGCGCGCGGCGUUGUGGGAUCGAGUGCGCAUGGCGAAGGUAUCGCGCAAGUCAACACGGGGCUCGUGUGCCUUCUUGGGCGGCAUGGCAAGCUAGUCAUUGUGGAUGUCGUAGAUGAAGAAGCCGGUGUUGAAGACGAUGACGCCGGCGGUCACCCGUAGCUCUCUCCAUGCCCCCCUACCUGGCGCGCCAGAUGUCGGAGAACGGAUCUCCGGCACCGGGUGUAACAUCCCAAUUUUCCCAAACUUUGCAUCAUGCAUUUGCACUCAUGAUCAUCAUAUCAUUUAUGCACUUUGAGCACUUUUAAACCAAAGAUUUAAAUUUUAAAACCUUUUAUCAAGCCUUUUGCCCUUUAAAUUUUUACUUUGCAUCUUUUGGAAUUAUUGCACUAGAGGCAAUUAUAUAAGCAAAACUAUUUUUAAUAAUUUGCUUUUGGAGGAAAUCUAGUCACAGAUGCUAUGGCAUUAAAGGAUACUAUUUUACAAAUUUUCUGGAAUUUAUUUGAGGUCAUUUGGUGUUCAAAAGUCAAAAGAAAUAAAGGAAAAAUAGAAAAAGAAAAAGGAGAAAAGAAAAAGAACAAAAAAAAGGAAAAAGCGGACCGGCCCAACCCCCCGCCCGUGGACGCGCCCGAGCGGCCCAACAGCCCAGCUAGCGCCACCCUUGGUCCAACGGACACUAACAGGUGGGACCCACCUGUCAGAUCGUCUUGAGGCUCCGGCCGGGAAUCCAGGGAGCGCCUCCAUCAAGCCUUGUCUUCAAUUCGCGAUUUAGAGCACGUGUUUAAGCCUCCCUCUCGCUUCACUAUAAACAACCCCUCCCCCUCUCACUUUUCCCCCGCACCCCCCUCACUCCACUCGCGACCAUGCCGGAGAAUUUCUCGUCGGAAUUGCUUCGGCCACCGGCCGUUCUUCGCUCGCCGUCGUCACCACGGUGAGGUAUAGAGCCCGAAGCCUUCAAUUUCUCCUUCCUCUUGUCCUUGCGCACUUUUUGACGCGACCUGUUUGUUGUUCGGUGCACCGUAGCCC
rnacentral:lncRNA from 1 species